rnacentral:sRNA from 1 species
AGCAGCCGCGGUAAUUCCAGCUCCAAUAGCGUAUAUUAAAGUUGUUGCAGUUAAAAAGCUCGUAGUUGAAUUUCGGGGUUAGUAGGCUGGUCAUGCCACCGGUAUGUACUGGUCUUUCUGAUUCCUCCUUCCUGAUGAACUGUAAUGCCAUUAAUUUGGUGUUGCAGGGAAUCUGGACUGUUACUUUGAAAAAAUUAGAGUGUUUAAAGCAGGCUAACGCUUGAAUACAUUAGCAUGGAAUAAUGAAAUAGGACGUUCGAUCCUAUUUUGUUGGUUUCUAGGAUUGACGUAAUGAUUAAUAGGGAUAGUUGGGGGCAUUAGUAUUCAAUUGUCAGAGGUGAAAUUCUUGGAUUUAUUGA